UACGUAGGUGGCGAGCGUUGUCCGGAUUUAUUGGGUUUAAAGGGUGCGUAGGCGGCUUUGUAAGUCAGUGGUGAAAUACUCCAGCUUAACUGGAGGGGUGCCAUUGAUACUGCGGAGCUUGAGUACAGAUGAGGUAGGCGGAAUUGACGGUGUAGCGGUGAAAUGCAUAGAUAUCGUCAAGAACACCGAUAGCGAAGGCAGCUUACUGGGCUGUAACUGACGCUGAGACGCGAAAGCGUGGGGAGCGAACAGG
rnacentral:rRNA from 1 species